ACCUGGCUGGCUCAGUCGGAAGAGCAUGUGGCUCUUGAUCUUGGGGUUGUGAGUUCAAGCCCCAUGUUGGGUG
rfam:Felis catus isolate Cinnamon breed Abyssinian chromosome E1, whole genome shotgun sequence.